CCUACGGGCGGCAGCAGUGGGGAAUAUUGGGCAAUGGAGGAAACUCUGACCCAGCAACGCCGCGUGAAUGAUGAAGGUCUUCGGAUUGUAAAGUUCUUUUCUAAGGGAAGCAGAAAGUGACGGUACCUUAGGAAUAAGACUCGGCUAACUACGUGCCAGCAGCCGCGGUAAUACGUAGGAGGCGAGCGUUAACCGGAAUGAAUGGGCGUAAAGGGUGCGUAGGUGGUUUGGCAAGUUAGUCGCGUAACUCCAGGGGUUAACCUUGGAACUACUACUAAAACUGUUGGACUUGAGUGCAGGAGAGGCAAGCGGAAUUCCUAGUGUAGCGGUGGAAUGCGUAGAUAUUAGGAGGAACACCAGUGGCGAAGGCGGGUUGCUAGACUGUAACUGACGCUGAGGCACGAAAGCGUGGGGAGCAAACAGGAUUAGAUACCCGUGUAGUC
rnacentral:rRNA from 1 species